ensembl:lncRNA
AACCCACAUCUACCUGUAUGUGACAUUCUGCCGCUCCAUUCUUUAUCAGAGCUCAAGUAUUGUCUGGUCUUUCUACAUUACCCAGUAUUUAGUCCUGGUCUUUUCCAUUACUCCAGUUAUAGUCUGGUCUUUUCUACAUUACUCCAGUAUAUAGUCUGGUCUUUUCUACAUUACUCCAGUAUUAGUCUGUCUUUUCUACUACUCCAGUAUUUAGUCUGGUCUUUUCUACAUUACUCCGUAUAUAGUCUGGUCUUUUCUACAUUACUCCAGUAUAUAGUCUGGUCUUUUUCUACAUUACUCCAGUAUUUAGUCUGGUCUUUUCUACAUUACUCCAGUAUGUCUGGUCUUUUCUACAUUACUCCAGUAUAUAGUCUGGUCUUUUCUACAUUACUCCAGUAUAUAGUCUGGUCUUUUCUACAUUACUCCAGUAUUCUAGUUGGUCUUUUCUACUUCUCCGUAUUUAGUCUGGUCUUUUCUACAUUACUCCAGUAUAUAGUUGGUCCUCCCUGGUCUUUUCUACAUUACUCCAGUAUUAGUUGGUCCUCCCUGGUCUUUUCUACAUUACUCCAGUAUAUAGUCUGGUCCUCCCUGGUCUUUUCUACCUUACUCCAGUAUAUAGUCUGGUCUUUUCUACAUUACUCCAGUAUAUAGUCUGGUCCUCCCUGGUCUUUUCUACAUGAUAGUUCCAGUAUAGAGUCUGGUCCUCCUGUCUUUUUUACAUCAUAUCCAGUAUAGUCUGGUCCUCCCUGGUCUUUUCUACAUCAUAG